rnacentral:rRNA from 1 species
AUUGAACGCUGGCGGCAUGCCUUACACAUGCGAGUCGAACGGCAGCACGGGUGCUUGCCCCUGGUGGCGGGUGGCGAACGGGUGAGUAAUACAUCGGAACAUGUCCUGUAGUGGGGGAUAGCCCGGCGAAAGCCGGAUUAAUACCGCAUACGAUCUACGGAUGAAAGCGGGGGACCUUCGGGCCUCGCGCUAUAGGGUUGGCCGAUGGCUGAUUAGCUAGUUGGUGGGGUAAAGGCCUACCAAGGCGACGAUCAGUAGCUGGUCUGAGAGGACGACCAGCCACACUGGGACUGAGACACGGCCCAGACUCCUACGGGAGGCAGCAGUGGGGAAUUUUGGACAAUGGGCGAAAGCCUGAUCCAGCAAUGCCGCGUGUGUGAAGAAGGCCUUCGGGUUGUAAAGCACUUUUGUCCGGAAAGAAAUCCUUGGCCCUAAUACGGUCGGGGGAUGACGGUACCGGAAGAAUAAGCACCGGCUAACUACGUG